CAUUUGGUUUGAUGAGCAACGGUCAAAUUUUAAAUUUCAAACGUAAUAGAGCAGCUCUUCCCAACGGCUAGUUUGAUGACAACGGUCAACUUUUAACUCUAAUACAUAAUAGACAACUGUAGCUCUUGCUCAAAAAAUAUACGGAUGGGUCGGAGUGGUUUUUUCGCUGUGGAGAUUUUCCUUCCUAUUAUGUUAAUUUUUCCUUCUCUUCCUUCCAUCAUUACUACUGAAAAUGGUACAAGAAAAAACCAGAAGGAAAAGAAAUCGGGCGAGGAAAGGAGGAGAUGGGGAGGGGGUCUCUGAAGAUAAACUGUUUGAAGAAAUGUCUGUGAACAAACUGUUUCCUUUGUAGAAACGAUGUUGAAUCAUCAAAAGACAAGGAAAGACUGAAACUCAGCCAAGGUCUCAAACCACGGCAUAUCAAGUUCUGGUUCCACGACCGGCGAACCCAGAUGAGGAAUGUCGCCCCCUUCGUUUUUCACUCUUUCAUGGCUGGAGAUGCUUUUGUACAGUUAGUACCAUAAUUUCUUCGAUGACUCUGAGACAAAAAACAACCUUGUGAAGCUAGCCUGCUUUGCUGUGUUAUAGUUUCUCAACAGUAUUAGAGAAAGCAGUCAUUUGUUAUCUUGAUGGGGUUGAGAAACUUAAGCACCACAAGAGAGAAUUUGAGAGCAUGACAGAUAUUGUCACUUGGAUAAUUGUUAAUAAUAAAAGAUAUAGAUUUGUUGUUGGUUUGGGAGGAAGAAGACCGCUGGGAUUGCCAGGUCGUCCUCCCUCUGCUGUGGGUGUGGUGUGUGGUGUGUGGUGUGUGCUCCCCUCUCUCUCACUCUCUUUCUCUCUACUUGCUUUUUUUUCCUCUCCAUUUCUCUCUACUUUCUCUUUCUCUAUUACUUUUCCCUCUUGACUUUUUCUCUGUGUUUUUUUUUUUUUUUUCCUCUUGCCUUGAUCUCUUCACUUUCUUUCUCUUUUAUUUAUCUCUUUUACUUUCUUUAA